UGUUGUUUCUUUUGGUUGUUUUUUUUUUUUGUUUUGUUUUGUUUUGUUUUUGUGUAGGCCAAGAAACAAAUUCAGCUUUAAUUGUCAUAGGAGCUGCUAGAGAAGACAAUCUAAGUGUCAUCAGUUCUGUACAGAGAAAGCAAUGUGGAGCUGCUCUGAGGUGCAGCUAUAUUGUGUGCAGGGAGAAAAAGUUACAGAAAAAAAAAUAUACUUGGGUUAUUUUAUCUUUUGAUUCUUUAAAAAAAUAAUCUAGCCACUUUCUAUAAAUAUGAGUUCCAAGAUGAAUUUUGGUACCUUUUUCUGCUUGUGUUGCAAACAGGACACCUUGAUAAGCGUGAUUCCUAGAGCUGAAGGGAGACACCACAGCCAGACAAGGUGUGCAACCACCUGACUUAUUUCUUCAACCACCUGAUUUAUUUCUAGUACAAUUAGAACAAACAGCCCUUUCCUUUUUAAUAAAGAUAAAGCACCUAGUUUAAAAAUCACGAGGAGGUGAGCAAAGAACCUGCUGUGCCCCUGGAUUCUGCAUUUACCACUUUGCUAAAGAGAGCCUAUGAGAGAGGAAGCAAUACCCUACUGGAAGGUGGUGUUCAGACAAAAUUGGCUUCCUGGCUCCCACCUGACCAGCUUUUGUUGGGAGUAAAGCAUGUGCUGUUAUACCUGAAAUCCACAGUGGAGAACUUCAGCAGGGUAAGAGCAAUAUUGUAAUAAUAUUGUGGUUAUGUUUGAUUUAUUUUCAUGUAGAAGGUACAAAUGACUUAGCUGUUCAAACUUAGGUUCCAGUUCUGUAGCUCUUUUUUCUGUGCUUGUCUCUGAGGCUGCACAGCACCGUACAAAACUGCAUGUAAUUUGUAAACAAAUGCCAGUUCUUAUUAUUGAGGAUUUGCUUUGGAUUUACUUUGCAUGGGUUACCUUGCUGAUCGGUGUGAGUGCAAAUAACCUCGAGAUUUUAAUCCAGCUCCUGGGUCUCCCCAGGAAGCCUUUGCAGAGAGUAAAAUUCACUGGCCUGUGUACCUCCAAAUGUUAUAUAUAUAAUGUAUAAAUGAAUAUAUAUAUGUGUAAAUGAAAUUCUAUCACUAUUUAUUUGGCAACCUGAGACUUCUCUUAGAAUCAGGUUCCUAUUAAGGGAGGUGGUUCCUUCCCCCAGAAGAGGUUGUAAUCUAAGUAGUUCUUAGUUAACUCCUAUUCCUGCUGUAUAAUUACCUGUCUGCUCCCAUCCUCCUCUUUUCUUCACUUCCAACAUGUCUUUGUUUUCAUAGCUUGGUAAAACUUUGGGUCCUCAGCUUGUUGAUCUCUGUGUGGACCUGCUGAGCAUCUUGUUGUGCCGGGACAAUGAAAUAAAGCUGGAGCAGCAGCAGAAGCAGGAGGAGCAUCAGGCUGAUGGGAUCUCUUCAUGGAUGAGGAGCCUCUGAUGACAGAAGUGUCUUCAAAUGACAAGACCCUGGAGGAUGCACUCACCUUGAUUUUCAGACAUCCUGCACUGGAGAGCUGGUUCCUGGCGUUGGAGCUGCGCUCUAUUCCUCAG